UUGGAGGGCAAGUCUGGUGCCAGCAGCCGCGGUAAUUCCAGCUCCAAUAGCGUAUAUUAAAGUUGUUGCAGUUAAAAAGCUCGUAGUUGAAUUUCGGGAUCAAUAUUUCGGUCAUGCCGUGGUAUGCACUGUUAUCAUUGAUUUCUCACCUUCUAAAGAACCGUGAUGCCAUUAAUUUGGUGUUACGGGGAAUUAGGACUGUUACCUUGAAAAAAUUAGAGUGUUUAAAGCAGGCUCACGCUUGAAUACAUUAGCAUGGAAUAAUGAAAUAGGACAUCCGAUUCUAUUUUGUUGGUUUCUAGGAUCGAUGUAAUGAUUAAUAGGGAUAGUUGGGGGCAUUAGUAUUCAAUUGUCAGAGGUGAAAUUCUUGGAUUUAUUGAAGACUAACUACUGCGAAAGCAUUUGCCAAGGAUGUUUUCAUUAAUCAAGAACGAAAGUUAGGGGAUCGAAGACGAUCAGAUACCGUCGUAGUCUUAACCAUAAACUAUGCCGACUAGGGAUCGGAUGAUGUUAAUUUUUUAAUGACUCAUUCGGCGCCUUACGGGAAAC
rnacentral:rRNA from 1 species